rnacentral:misc_RNA from 1 species
AACGCACAUUGCGCCCUUUGGUAUUCCUUAGGGCAUGCCUGUUCGAGCGUCAUUUGUACCCUCAAGCUUUGCUUGGUGUUGGGCGCCUGUCCCGCCUCUGGUGUGGACUCGCCUUGAAAACAUUGGCGGUUGUUGUAUCGACCGGAAGCGCAGCAGAAACGCGCCCUUCCCGGCUUGGUACCCUCCUCCAAGAAGCCAAAUUCUUCAGCUUGACCUCGGAUCAGGUAGGGAUACCCGCUGAACUUAA